rnacentral:tRNA from 7 species
GGAGAGAUGGCCGAGUGGCUUAAGGCGCACGCUUGGAAAGCGUGUGUACGUGAAUAGCGUACCGUGGGUUCGAAUCCCACUUUCUCCGCCA